rnacentral:rRNA from 1 species
AUUGAACGCUGGCGGCAGGCCUAACACAUGCAAGUCGAGCGAGCGGCGGACGGGUGAGUAAUGUCUGGGAAACUGCCUGAUGGAGGGGGAUAACUACUGGAAACGGUAGCUAAUACCGCAUACCAUCGGAUGUGCCCAGAGGGGAUUAGCUAGUCGGUGGGGGAACGGCCCACAUCGGCGACGAUCCCUAGCUGGUCUGAGAGGAUGACCAGCCACACUGGAACUGAGACACGGUGCAGACUCCGACGGGAGGUAGCAGUGGUGCAUAGUGCACAAUGGGCGCAAGCCUGAUGCAGCCAUGCCGCGUGUAUGAAGAAGGCCUUAGGGUUGUAAAGUACGUUCAGCGGGGAGGCGUUACCCGCAGAAGAAGCACCGGCUAACUCCGUGCCAGCAGCCGCGGUAAUAC